GCAAAACCAGAUAUAUGACCGUAAAAUCUAAACAGAGAGGCCUCUCCGUUUAGGCUUAACGCGCGAUGCCCGUGCCAGCCGUCCAUUGGCGCGCGGGCGACGUGGCGUGCAUCCGGCGCGCGCGCUUGUCCCGACCGCGUGUUGCUUAUCCAAACCGAGCUGCUCCGCUCGUUCCGACCGAGAAAGAGAGAGAGAGAGAGAGUUGUUUUACUAUUUAAAAAUUGUGGGUGGCGAGAGAGAGAGAGAGAGGCGGAGGCGGCGACAAUCUCCGGCGAAAUCGUCGGCGGAGGCGGUGGAGAUGUCGCUGCGGCGGCAGUGUGGGAGGGGGAAGGUGCGGUUGUUUCGUCCCGUCGCGCCGACGGCGGAAUCGGCGGUGGAGGCAGCGGAAUCUGCGUGGAGGCGGCGUUUUUUCUCUCCACAUCGUGCUUGCAGUUGCGGGGGGAAGUGAAGGCUGCGGCUUAGGUGGUUUUCUCUCCACCAAAUCUGGCGCCCGUGCGGUGUUAGUUCGUCCUCUCCGUGGAGCUCCUCUGCGUCCUCUCGGCGAGUGCAAAGUUUGUGGUGGUGGAUCUCCGGCUUGAUUUGAAGAGAUCGAGGUACAUUCAGAGAAUAGAGGCUGCAGGUAGCAGGGGGGAGAGCAUGCAUGUCAGCAUGUAUAUGCAUGCAUGCUACUGAUCAGUGGUGACAGGCAGAUGAGUGCUGACCGAUCGAUUGAUCCCUUGAUUGGCUAAUCUAUGUCGUCUUGGAUUGGCUAAUCCAAUGUGAUUUUCAGUUACCAUGUUGCUAAUAAUCUGAAGCUCUCCCUAGUCAUUGAUGUUAUUACCUUUUUUUUUUUUGCAAAUAUUGUGGCAUGUCUAGUAACAUUUUCCUCUAGUAGCAAAUAAUGGUCGUCUCAAAAUGUUCCUUAAGUAACACAUUUGAUUUAUUGAAUUACAUCUAGUCUAGUUAAAACUUACUUUUUCCCGUGGCAUGUGAGUAACAUUUUGAGAACAAUGAAAUUAAGUUUGCAAUUUUUUUGUACUUCCUACUAGUUGUUAAGUUACUUCCAAAAUGUACUGACUUACUUCUAAACACAUAAAUGUUACUUUCUACUAGUUGUUUAGUUGUAAUUGGUUAGAUUUUGGUGAAACUAAUAGUCAAAAUGAUUUUCCAGGAAUAGCUAGGAAGAAAUCCCAUGUAACGAAAGGCGCGUUGGACAAACUAGAGUCAAGUCAGAAAAAAAGGAGUGUAUCGCAACGCAGGAAGAAGAGAGAUCAUGGUGGAGAUGAUGCAACGCAACCUCCUCCAAAAAGGAGUAGAACAAAGUACUAGAAGAGAAAGAGAGGCAACUAGGAGGAAUGCAUCAUGUUGUGUACACAUACCAGCAGCACUUGAAAAGAAAUUUAUUCGAUAUACGAAGGAAGUCAGAAAGGGAGACAGAUUCAUAGUAUUCGUAUCUCGGGGAAGACAGGAUUCAUAGAAUUCAUUUCUCACAGAAGACAAAAAGAACCUAAAAAUUCUCUAGCCACAGCUACGUUCGGGAUCGACGCUGGUCCGGAUUUGUUAGAUUGGAGGGGGGGUGAGGCGCGUAGCGCGCUUCCUUUAGGUGGGCCCACGCUAGCUGUCCCACGCCAAGCACGGUGUGCGUGGCACGACGCGCGCGCGGCUUUCCUUUUUUUGUCAGAGGCGCGCGCGCUAAAAAGGAAACCGUGUUUUCCUUUUUUUUUUGUCAGGAGCGUCGCGCGUUAGCGCUAUCGCGAUAGCGAUCUCGUUGUAGUCUCGUCCAUAUAUGACAUUUCUUAACUUAGAAAACAGUUCACUUUAGAUC